GCGUGGUGCUAAUAACGCCAAGGUCGCGGG
rnacentral:piRNA from 2 species